rnacentral:lncRNA from 1 species
CAAAAACCUUUAUACUUGAUUUUUCGGGAUCACCAAAAAUAUAUGUUGGUUUUACGGGCUCACCAACAAACCUUCACCGUUGGUUUUACGGGUUCACCAACAAACCUACACCAUUGGUUUUACGGGCUCACCAACAAACCUUACAAGAUUGUUAAGAAGAAGAAAAAGAUUGAAACUCCUAGAUGAGCAGAUAUAACAAUUAUAAGCUACAAAGAAGAGUUAGAAUAUAGUAUCGCUUUGAUAAGGCUCUUCUCUUCUUUGUCAAAGAAUGCUUCACUUUUCAAGAGUUGGUGGAGCUCUUAAUGCCUUUUUUUUGAUCUGCUCAACCACUUCCUUUUGACUCUUGAAUGAAGCACCUCGAUGAAGAAAAAUUAGGGCUUUUUCUUUCUUGAGUAAGCUUUGAUAUUUUGCAAAAGGAUACUUCCUCUGAUGAAUAGUAUCACUUUAAAUACUUUUCCUCAUCUAUUGAUUACCUCCUAUUGGUUAGAUUUCAAAAACUAGCCAUUACUAGCUGUUGGAAGGUCAAAAUGUACUUCUGUAGAACUAGCCGUUAUGCUUCUGCUCGUGCUGGGGUCGACUCAAACUUUUCUGGGGUCGACUCAAAUCACUGUUCAUCAUACUUGGGGUCGACUCAACUUUCGCUGGGGUCGACCCAACUUUCGCUGGGGUCGACUCCAGCUACAGUGGGGUCGGCCCUAUCAGGAAUCACAGAACCUUGUAUUUCAACUGUUUUUCACUGGGGGUCGAUUCAACUCUUUUUAGGGUCGACUCAAGCUAUAGUAGGGUCGACUCAAGUUCCAUUGGGGUUGACCCUCUCAGGGAAUCCAGAGAGUUUUGAACGUCAUAGCCUUGGGG